rnacentral:rRNA from 1 species
UGCCAGCAGCCGCGGUAAGACGAAGGUGGCAACCGUUGUUCGGAAUCACUGGGCAUAAAGCGCACGUAGGCGGCAUGAAUAGUCAGGUGUGAAAGCCCUCGGCCCAACCGAGGAACUGCGCUUGAAACUGUCAUGCUUGAGGAUCGGAGGGGAGCGUGGAAUUCCUGGUGGAGCGGUGAAAUGCGUUGAUAUCAGGAGGAACACCGGCGGCGAAGGCGACGCUCUGGCCGAUUUCUGACGCUGAGGUGCGAAAGCGUGGGGAGCAAACAGGAUUAGAUA